rnacentral:rRNA from 1 species
AGCAGUCGCCGCGGUAAAACGUAGGGUGCGAGCGUUAAUCGGAAUUACUGGGCGUAAAGCGGGCGCAGACGGUUACUUAAGCAGGAUGUGAAAUCCCCGGGCUCAACCUGGGAACUGCGUUCUGAACUGGGUGACUAGAGUGUGUCAGAGGGAGGUAGAAUUCCACGUGUAGCAGUGAAAUGCGUAGAGAUGUGGAGGAAUACCGAUGGCGAAGGCAGCCUCCUGGGAUAACACUGACGUUCAUGCCCGAAAGCGUGGGUAGCAAACAGGAUUAGAUACCCGUGUAGUCCCUGUCUCUUAUAA